rnacentral:piRNA from 1 species
UGGAUACGUGCAAGGUCUCUGAGGCAGUGC